GCUAUUAAAAAGCACCCAGGUGUACUGGCAAAUUGACAAAGCACUCUGUGCAUAACCACGAAAAACACAUUUUCUUAAAGACCCGAGAAGACCCUCAUUUUCAGCACUGGCUGACCUUCAGGCUCAGCUCAGCAGAAAGUGAAGACUGAAGCAGAGUUUUCAACAGUCUGCGUAUGUGUUAAAGGAACACCCCAGCCCAGAGUCAUCCACAAAAACUGGAAGAAUCCAUCAGUUUGUCUUUGUCUCAGUUUUGUCAUAUAGACCUUUGUGACACACAGAUCUAUAUACAAUGAAAACUACAAAUUUCUAAUGAAAGAACCACAAAAGAUCACAAAAGAUCUUAAUAAAUAGAAAGACAUUUAAUGUCCAUGAACAU
rnacentral:lncRNA from 1 species